CCUACGGGUGGCAGCAGUGAGGAAUAUUGGUCAAUGGACGGAAGUCUGAACCAGCCAAGUCGCGUGAGGGAUGACUGCCCUAUGGGUUGUAAACUUCUUUUAUAUGGGAAUAAUAUGUUCCACGUGUAGGCUUUUGUAUGUACCAUAUGAAUAAGGAUCGGCUAACUCCGUGCCAGCAGCCGCGGUAAUACGGAGGAUCCGGGCGUUAUCCGGAUUUAUUGGGUUUAAAGGGAGCGUAGGUGGAUUGUUAAGUCAGUUGUGAAAGUUUGCGGCUUAACCGUGAAAUUGCAGUUGAAACUGGCAGUCUUGAGUACAGUAGAGGUGGGCGGAAUGCGUGGUGUAGCGGUGAAAUGCUUAGAUAUCACGAAGAACUCCGAUUGCGAAGGCAGCUCACCGGACUGCAACUGACGCUGAGGCUCGAAAGUGUGGGUAUCAAACAGGAUUAGAUACCCCAGUAGUC
rnacentral:rRNA from 1 species